CCAAAUGAAUCCAAAUUUUUACCCAAUAAUGUACAGAGACUUUGGAUUAAAAUUUACACAUUACAAAUAAGUACAAAACGCAGUGAUUCAACGAGCCGAGAUAAGGUCUGGACCCGAGUAUUUACAAUUCAUUUAUCGAUAACCUGCUUCACGGAUAAAAAAACGAGGGAGAAAGAGAAGAGUGGAAGAUAAAAUAUAGAGAAAAAGAGAGAGAGAGGGAAGUUGGUCGGUGAAACGAUUCCGUGAUUAAGAGUAGGAUGAUCGGGGGCCGCAUUUUGCGUGCUCAAGCAUGCGUAAGUCCGAGGGCAGAAUACGGUUAUACGCCGGCCAAGCUGUGUCAUCGUCGGCCAAUGAUGGAGGAUCGGGGCCUUCUCUCUGGGUUGAUCUUGGGGAAUCGGAGGAGGAGAGUGACUCAUACCGGUAGCCAGUAGGUUUUCCGGUUAUCUGGGUUCUGGUCGCGGAUUAUGGGAGUGUCGGGAGAAAGGCUGUAAUUGACUGUGAUUAUGUUACGUCGAGUUAGCCACGGUGAGAGGUACUUGAUCAUCUGGUAUAUUUAAAAUUAUUCAUUUUCAAUUAAUCUAUGAAUUAUUUAAUACAUAUUCCUAUCUUCUGUCUCCUAUGCUAAUGGAAGAAAAGCUAAUCCACGAGAUAAAUUAAAUAACGUACUUGAUCAUCUGGUAUAUUUAAAAUUAUUCAUUUUCAAUU